UUGUUCCUACAAUAAAGUCCGUGGUUGUGAGUAUGAGACCUAAUGUCCUACCAUGCUGUCCCCUAUUUCUAUUCAAGAGUCAUACCAAAUGCUAAGUUAUACUUUCUUCAAUAAAAUAAAAAGAAAAAGAUUUAAAUAACACUGCCCCCGCGCCCCUCAAUUCUCUUGGUUUUCUGAAAUCAGAAUGAAUCAACACAACCAAUAAGGAACCUGCUAGAAACUUGUAUCCCAGAGUCGAAGUAUCUGGAAAGACUAAUCCAUUUCUGAUUUUUUUUUUAAAGCUAUGAAGCCGCAGCCCUGUUUACAUUCCAGUGAAGUAGUUUAGUAAUUUAUAGCUAAUUUGUCAAUGGGCAUGCAGCUGUAGGCUGUGCAGUUUGAAAACAAAAAAAGAAUAUACCUCUCCCUUCAUGUUUACAUAGGCUCUGAAAGCCUGGUGUAGCGCAGGAUGCGAGCCCCCAGAGUCAUUAGGAAGGUCCACCAGCCUCUGAGGGUGGAGGGAUGUUUGCAUUAUAACCCAACACAUCAUUAAGGACACAAUUGUUAUUUAAUGUGGCACAAUCAUCUUUCUACCCUUCGUGAAAUGCACUUAAUUCUAUUUUGUGCUGAUUUCUCCUUCCUCAAAUCCCCUCUAUAUCCUCCCAGAAGGACCACAGCUACUGUUGGUGAGGAUGGCAGUACCCGGAGCCAAUGCAGACACCAUUCAUCCAUCUGCAGGCACCGCAGGGGCCAGCGGCCAGACCACCACUUCCCAGUCCCGGAGGCUGUGGCAUCUAUAAAUAACAUUGUAGCACUACAUAAGGUGAGAGAAACCAGUUCUCCACAGAGUGUGCAAUGAAGAAUUUUGAAUUAAAAGGGGUUUAAAUGGUAGUUUGGUUUCAAUAGUAAAAUUAAAAAGAAGAUCAAACAGAUGUUGCUCUGAUAGCUGGAUUCCUAAGGAAAUCAACUAUAGAUUUCAUAAAGUACUGAUUACUGGGCUACAUAAUCAGCAUGAUUUUGCCAGUAUCUAAAAGCCAUUAGGAAAGGCGAGAGGUAUCAAACACACUGUAUCCAGUGUGUGCUGCUGUCUCCCCUGAAAUCUCCACGCAGAUCAUUCUGUAUAACUUAAUUAGCGAAGUUAAAAUUAAGAUGAGACUCCAGUGUGUUUAGGCGAAACAAUUUCUGUGAGAGGAUACUUCAUUAAAACAUUUAAUAAUGCAACAACUUCUGCUUAUCAAACAGCUUGCUGAAAGAAAAAAAUAUUUUUUUGCCAAUUAAUAAAA
ensembl:lincRNA Gm28140 predicted gene 28140